rnacentral:rRNA from 1 species
GACGAACGCUGGCGGCGUGCUUAACACAUGCAAGUCGAACGGAAAGGCCCUGCUUUUGUGGGGUGCUCGAGUGGCGAACGGGUGAGUAACACGUGAGUAACCUGCCCUUGACUUUGGGAUAACUUCAGGAAACUGGGGCUAAUACCGGAUAGGAGCUCCUGCUGCAUGGUGGGGGUUGGAAAGUUUCGGCGGUUGGGGAUGGACUCGCGGCUUAUCAGCUUGUUGGUGGGGUAGUGGCUUACCAAGGCUUUGACGGGUAGCCGGCCUGAGAGGGUGACCGGCCACAUUGGGACUGAGAUACGGCCCAGACGCAUACGGGAGGCAGCAGUGGGGAAUAUUGCACAAUGGGCGGAAGCCUGAUGCAGCAACGCCGCGUGCGGGAUGACGGCCUUCGGGUUGUAAACCGCUUUCGCCUGUGACGAAGCGUGAGGGACGGUAAUGGGUAAAGAAGCACCGGCUAACUACGU